rnacentral:rRNA from 1 species
GUACACGCUGUGACUAGCAUAUCAAUAAGCGGAGGAAAAGAAACUAACAAGGAUUCCCCUAGUAACGGCGAGUGAAGCGGGAAGAGCUCAAAUUUGAAAUCUUAAAGGGUUUCCCUUUACGAAUUGUAGUUUAAAGAAGUGUUUUCUGUUGAGGUUUUGGUAAAAGUUCUUUGGAAUAGGACAUCAUAGAGGGUGAGAAUCCCGUAUUUGACCUUUACUUUCAACUUUGUGAUACACUUUCAAAGAGUCGGAUUGUUUGGGAAUGCAGUCCAAAAUGGGUGGUAAAUUUCAUCUAAAGCUAAAUAUUGGCGAGAGACCGAUAGCGAACAAGUACCGUGAGGGAAAGAUGAAAGAACUUUGAAAAGAGAGUUAAACAGUACGUGAAAUUGUCAAAAGGGAAGCGUUUGACACCAGUGUUGUUUUUCUGAAAAUCAAUUAAAGAACUGUUUAUGCUAAGCUGUUUAGACUUUAUCAGCUAUCUGUUUAGUUUUGAGCUUUUCUUUAAUGCACUUUUCAGUUAACAAGUCAACAUCAAUUUCUUUUGCCGUAAAAAAGCUUGAGGAAGGUGGCUUGAGAUUCGUCUUAAGUGUUUAUAGCCUCUUGCCUAUGCAGUCGGAGAGAUUGAGGUCUGCAGCGUAGAUCCUUCGGGGCUAAAUGCAUUUGUGCUAAGUUAUAGCAUUUUAUAGACAACUUGUUGACUAUGAUUUGUCUUGUAGCUUACUCGCUUAUGUUAUUUUACCUACGCUUAGGAUGUUGAGUCGUAGAGCACGCAG